GCAUAUCAAUAAGCGGAGGAAAAGAAACUAACAAGGAUUCCCUUAGUAACGGCGAGUGAAGAGGGAAGAGCUCAAAUUUUAAAUCUAUCAUGUUUGUACAUGAUCGAGUUGUAAUUUGAAGAAGCGUUUUCUCGUACUUUAUGCAAUCAGUAUAAGUUCUCUUGGAACAGGACAUCAUAGAGGGUGAUAAUCCCGUCUGUUACUGGUUGUGAGGUUCGUUAUGAUACGCUUUCAAAGAGUCGAGUUGUUUGGGAUUGCAGCUCCAAAUGGGUGGUAAACAUCACCUAAGGCUAAAUAUUUGCGAGAGACCGAUAGCGAACAAGUACCGUGAGGGAAAGAUGAAAAGAACUUUGAAAAGAGAGUUAAAAAGUAUGUGAAAUUGUUGAAAGGGAAACGAUUGAAGUCAGUCGUGCAGUCAUCAAUUCAGCGGUUAACAUUUUAUGUUUCCGUGUAAUUUGGUGUCUGUUGGUUAGCAUCAAUUUUGAUUGUUAUAAAAAGGUUAAGGGGAUGUGGCUCCUUCGGGAGUGUUAUAACCCUUAGCGUAAUGUGACGAUUAGGAUUGAGGUUUGCAACGAAUACCUUUUAGGGCAGUUUCACCUGGCCUCUCGUGGAAUUAUAGAUAGUUAAGAGCAUGCUCUUACUGUUUAUGAUUCUACGAAAAGGUUGGAGUGUAAAACUAAUUCGUUAAGGAUGUUGACGUA
rnacentral:rRNA from 1 species